rnacentral:rRNA from 1 species
AACGAACGUUAGCGGUGUGGAUUAGGCAUGCAAGUCGCGCGCGAAAGUCCGCAAGGAUGAGUAAAGCGGCGAAAGGGUGAGUAAUACGUAGUCAACCUACCCCUGAGAUCGGAAUAACUACUGGAAACGGUGGCUAAUGCUGGAUGAUCUUGUCGAGAGGCAUCUCGAGACAAGCAAACGGUGGCGCAAGCUGCUGUUCAGGGACGGGGCUACGGGCUAUCAGCUAGUUGGCGGGGUAAUGGCCCACCAAGGCUAUGACGGUUAGCCGGUCUGAGAGGACGACCGGCCACACUGGGACUGAGACACUGCCCAGACUCCUACGGGAGGCUGCAGUCGAGAAUCUUCCGCAAUGGGCGAAAGCCUGACGGAGCGACACCGCGUACAGGAUGAAGGCCUUGGUU